GAUUAACGCUGGCGGCGUGCCUAACACAUGCAAGUCGAACGAUGAAACUCAUUAGAUUUCUUCGGAAUGAAAAUGAAUGGAUUAGUGGCGAACGGGUGAGUAACGCGUGAGUAACCUGCCUUACACAAGGGGAUAGCCUCUGGAAACGGAGAAUAAUACCCUAUGAAACCAGACAAUAGCAUGAUAAUCUGGUCAAAAUGUUUAGUGGUGUAAGAUGGACUUGCGUCUGAUUAGCUAGUUGGUGAGAUAAAAGCUCACCAAGGCAACGAUCAGUAGCCGGCUUGAGAGAAUGUACGGCCACAUUGGGACUGGCACACGGCCCAGACUCCCACGGGAGGCAGCAGUGGUGAAGUUGGCACAAUGGGGGAAACCCUGAUGCAGCGACGCCGCGUGAUUGAGAAGGCCUUCGGGUUGUAAAAUUCUUUUGUAUAGGAAGAAAAUGACGGUACUAUACGAAUAAGGUCCGGCUAAUUACGUG
rnacentral:rRNA from 1 species